UUAAUUGCCCCCAAAUCUCCUCCGCUUCCCACUCCCUCUCGAUUCCAAAACCCUCGCUGGCCUCUUCUACAGAUGGAUCGAUCGAUCAUGCGAUGAAGAAGGAAGAGGUACGGCAAGGCCUAUCCCGCCAGAGAGAAUGCGUGUUCAGGGUGAUCUGCGAGGCUGCAGAUCGAGAUCCAGCACUGUCGGAGCCAACCGAACGUCUUCCGUUUCUUGGCUUGGUUCCAUGAUGAGACCGGCGUCUACUUGGACCUCGAGUUCGCGGUUCAGGAUAAUGAAAGUUGACAUAACGUUCCCUUCCACUCUCUGUCUGAUGAAGCUAGUGAUGUUAUCGGCAACGACAUUUUGGCAGAAUAUGGUGUUGGCAAAUAACAUAGCACAUGCCUACAUCUGCUGGCAAUGGUUUGGUCGGGUGGAACAGCAAGGAGGAUGCAGUAAGCUUCAUCCGAGUGGUUAAAGCAGCACAACUCCUCGAGGAUGCUGAGGUGAACGAGGAGAUCAGGGAAGGGGUCGUGGAAGAAGGCCGGCGAGACGGCCGGCAGCCCACCAACUCCCGUGGCGUCCUCCUCGUCGAUGAGCCCGACGCCGAGCUCCAUGUCCCAGUCGUCGUAGUCGUGGGCGUGGCUCUCGACCUCCCGCUCGCAGGCGAACUCCGACGACGACAGCACGUGCUCCGAGCCGGUCGACUCCCCCGUCAGAGGCGGCAGUGACUCGGGCGAGUCGAAGCAGAUCAUUGCACUUCUCGGCGCCGGCACGUGCGAGACGACACCCUGUUUUGAGUCCGGCUGGGCCGGCCGAGUCUUCUUGGGUCCGGCUGCCUUCCGGCCCGGGGUGGCUUGCUUUCCCACCUCCCCCUUCUUGUGGUAGAUCCGGCACAGCACCCAGUCAUCAAGCUGCAUUACGAAACGCCAGCGAGAAAUCGGAUCAGGUACAUGGCGGUCUGUAUGUUGCAGCGUACAACCUCAUCUAAUUGUUGGGCACGUGUAGGACAAUGUUGGCGUACCCGGAGGCUGCGGUUCUUGCGGGCGGAGCGAUCGACGUCGGCGAGGCGGUACUCGUGCAUGAUCCAGUUGGUCUUCUCCCCCUUGGGCGGCUUCCCGGAGUAGAACACGAGCGCCUUUUUUAUGGCGACCGGGCGAGGCGAACCGACGGGCUUGUCGGCCCCGGUGGCCUUCCAGUAUCCCGAGCCGGCGGCCCGGUUCGGCCGCGACCCGUUGGGGUACUUGCGGUCCCGCGGCGAGAAGAAGUACCACUCCUUCUCGCCGUACAGUGCCAUGCCUGCCGAGGAGAUCAUCAGGACUUCAAGAUCCAUCUGCACCGCGUGAUCAUGAUCGGACGGGAUGAGAAAUGGGCGAGAGAGGGGGAGGACAGGCACGUGUACCUGGGAGCUGCCAGGGGUCGUACUUGUACAGGUCGACAUCGGCGAUGAUGGGAACGGGGACGGGAAUCGCCGCGCACCGCCGGCAUAGGUAGUGCAUCACCAGUUCCUCGUCCGUCGGAUGGAAGCGGAACCCGGGGGGUAGGGCCAAUUCGCUGCCGUUCAUCGUCGCCUCCCUUUCCGUCGUCGUUCUCUUCGCCUCGGCUGUCGUAAGAAGGCGAAGAACGCUUUGGAAUUCGGGAGAGUUGAGGGUAGGGAACUUAUAUCGUGGAGUGUGGCCUGGAUUUACGAAACGUGGCGGAGAUCGAGCGGGGAGCAGCAGCGUGGACGGGAUUGGGGUGCGCGGAUUCUGUCACGGCUGACGUAGUAGGUUGCGGGGCCCGCGUUGUCCCUGUGAGGGGGCGAAGGAACGGCGUCAGCCCGAGGACGGCAGCGGGCGAGGCGGAAGAUGGGGACGGCGGAGCGACCGGUGGAAGACGCGGCGAGAUGGAGGCGGAGUCGGACUCCAAUUUAGGACAGGGGGCACUUAAUUAGUGUUUACCUGUCAGCGUCGUGGCACCGGGUAUUCCAGGUGGAUGCGAAACGUACGGUCAAGAUGUUAUCCGUUAUGUCCAUUCCAUGAUUCCACACUUGAAAAAGGCCACCCGUUUUUGCACCCAUCAGGAUUCCGGAUCUGAGAGUAACGGACGGAGAGUUAAGUUGAUAGUAAUAAAUUGAAUUUAUACGUGGCAGGCAGCUACAAUGAUUGGUGUAGGUCAACGAUCGGAGGAUGGUCUACGGUUCCACGUAGGAUUCCCAAGUGGAUGUUUUCUAUUCUUUGAGCAAGUGCGGUCUCAGGAUCUGCAUGUGGGUCGCGGAUUAUUUUUCAUGGGUGGAUCGUGUGUGAAAGGAUACCACCCGGGAAAGUUUCAGGAUGGUUCGGUCCACCUAAAUCGCGGUCGUGACAAGAGACAUGGCCCGCAGGCAUGACAACAGACGAGAUCCGCAGCAACAUCUUCUUCUGGGCCAAUAGUUUUAUAUUAUUCGCGAGGCAGGUAAGGAACAAGGGAUUAAUACCCAAUGUUGAUGGGUAAUGUUGUCCUUUUAAUUGGACGGAGGAAGGUGGGGUCGGUCCUUGGUAGACCGCCGCGGCGAGCAGAUUACGUGUAGAAGAUGCGGCGGUGGCUUCCAAUUUGAUCUUUUCGUUAUUUAACACAAAAAAAAAAGAAAGAACAACCAGUGCUGCAGUCGUCGUUAACAUCAGCAUUGGGAUCACCACAUCUUGGUUUGCAGUAGUUUAAUUACGCGGAGUCAGAUAGCAUUCGUUAAUUAUAUAUGUCUUCCUUUUCCCUCGCUAGCUCGAAAGGUUGGGGUAUGGGGAGACAUCACUGUAGGUUGGUCUCUUCACUUCCGGAUUCGCUGCUUCACUUCACUGUGGGUUUGCAUCAGUGAGUCUAGGAGGAGAUCCACAAAUUCUAUCCGUCAGGCUUUGGUAGUAUGAGGGCAUUCAGUAUAGUUUUUACUGUUUCCUCCUUUGUGGAAUUUAUGUUGUUUAUAGCUAAGUCUUCUAGAAAAACAACAGGAUGAAUCUGAUGAAAUGCAUUUUUUUACUCUUCACAUCCAUGAUGCAUUUAAAUAGUAAGGUUAAGAACUCUCAUCUUUACUCUUUGUUAUUGUUAUCCAUUGACCCCAUAGUUGGAGCCACUGCAGCUGGUAAUGCUGUUGUUUUGAAACCAUCAGAGGUUUUUAUAAGAGUGAUUGAGUGAUCUAUUCCUGAGAAAACAGCACUUUUUUGGUACAAAAGUUUGAUAAAAUACUCUAUCCAUGUCUUUACUUGCUACCUAAAAGUGUUUCUCCUGUUCAAUAUUUUUCUUUUCUAAUAUUGACUGCCUUGGUGUUCUUUAUACGUGACAUGCUCCACUUAUAUAAGAUUUUUUGAUAUAGCUAUUUCUUCCAUUUAAACAAUGUGCAGUGGCUGAUGGUUCUGUGCACUUAAACCUGUGACAUUGAACAAUAACAGAACUACUAUGUAAACUUUACAGGCAAUGCGAGAGUAGGCCAUAUAUCCUGAUGACUGCAGCUGCAAAGCAUCCAACACAAGCAAUUCCGGAGAUUGCAGCAAGCAAACAGAAGGGAUGCGACAUUGGACGAGCUUGUAUUUCACCGGAUUAUAUUAUUACAACAACAUUAUUUGCUCCAAAAUUGCUAAGUGGGUAGCGAUUUCAUCCUGCUUAUCUAUUGCUCGAUUAGUGACCAUGAUAAUUGCAGGUGGAUGCUCUAAGAUCAACUUUAGAGAAAUUAUACAGGAAGAAUGCGUCGGAAUCAGCAGAUCUAUCUCGCACUGUGAACUCCAACCAUUUCUCGAGCUCGAUGAGUCUUUUGGAUGGUGAAAUGGUUUCUGGCACGAUUGUCUACGCGGGACACCGGAAUGAAGAUUGCCGGUACGCAUCACACGCAAUACCAUUUUCAAUGAGAUGGUUCAAGUUACAUGUUUGUAACAUCAUCCCAAUGUGAUUGCAGAAGAAUAGCUCCUCUUAUUAGAUGUUUCGGAUGUUUCACGAUAAUGAAAGAGGAAAUUUUGACCCUCUA